rnacentral:rRNA from 1 species
GACGAACGCUGGCGGCGUGCUUGACACAUGCAAGUCGAACGGUAAGGCCCUUCGGGGUACACGAGUGGCGAACGGGUGAGUAACACGUGGGUGAUCUGCCCUGCACUUCGGGAUAAGCCUGGGAAACUGGGUCUAAUACCGGAUAGGACCCUGGGAUGCAUGUCCUGGGGUGGAAAGCUUUUGCGGUGUGGGAUGGGCCCGCGGCCUAUCAGCUUGUUGGUGGGGUGAUGGCCUACCAAGGCGACGACGGGUAGCCGGCCUGAGAGGGUGACCGGCAGACCUGGGACUGAGAGGCGGCCCAGACUCCUACGGGAGGCAGCAGUGGGGAAGAUUGCACAAUGGGCGCAAGCCUGAUGCAGCGACGCCGCGUGAGGGAUGACGGCCUUCGGGUUGUAAACCUCUUUCGGCACCGACGAAGCGCAAGUGACGGUAGGUGCAGAAGAAGGACCGGCCAACUACGUGCCAGCCGCCGCAGUAA